rnacentral:rRNA from 1 species
UACGGAGGGUGCAAGCGUUAUCCGGAUUCACUGGGUUUAAAGGGCGCGUAGGCGGGUUUGUAAGUCAGUGGUGAAAUCUCCGAGCUUAACUUGGAAACUGCCAUUGAUACUAUAGAUCUUGAAUUUUCUGGAGGUAAGCGGAAUAUGUCAUGUAGCGGUGAAAUGCUUAGAUAUGACAUAGAACACCAAUUGCGAAGGCAGCUUUCUGCAGGAAUAUUGACACUGAGGCACGAAAGCGUGGGGAUCAAACAGG